CACAGCUGACAGGUGGUGUAGGUCCACACCCCGGAUCUGAACCCCCAAAUUUUCUUUUAAAAAUGUUUUCUCUCUUUAUUUGCAAUAUUAGUUUAACAUCCAGUUUCUUGAUUCUUUAUCUUUUCAUUUACCGAGCCUGUCCACUUUUUCUGGUGAAUCAUUGCAACCCUUUUAACCCCCUUUGAGACCGUGUGUUUAUUAUAAUUAAGGUAGAUAUACUUGGGAAAGUUUUCGUCUAAGAAUAAGGGAAUUUUUGAAGAACGGAUUGGAGGAGGAAGAAAAGGCUGAUAAUAAUGAUGCUGUUCAGACAUGAAAUUAGCCCACCAUCAGUGUGUCAAGCACUUGUCAUUGUUUUCCCAGCAGUGGGGAGGUGUAGGCUCAUCCUCUCCCUUGCCCUGCACCCGUAGAAGGGGCUGGCCAGGCUUUGGGUUGUGCCUGGGGCCUUAGACUGACGUCAUUCAUCCCAGCAAACUGUGCUGGCCAAUGCCAGAGGAACCCAGCUUGGCCCGCGGUCACUGGGGAAGGCGAUGGGCAGAGUGAGCGACAGGAAAGAAUCGGAGCAGCUGUUAAGUUCUAGACAGCCCCAGAAACUGUCUCUGUCCUCCAGAAAUGUAAAUAACUGCCAACAUUUAUUAAGCAUUCCUUUGGUGCCACCACUUUGCUCAACACUUAAUAGAUUAUCUCAUUGCAGGCCCUCAACAGCCCCCUGUGGUGGCUGCUUAGAACCUCCGUAUAUGCCGAUAAGGCCCAGAGAGGUUGAGUUACUUAGCCAAGGAAACACAGGUGGCAAAAUGCAGAUUCUAAUCUAAAUCAGCCUGUGUCCAAGCCUGAAUGCCUAACUACUGCUGUCUGUUUGUAGACUACAGCCAUCUCAUCCAGGCAGAUAUGAAAAGUGAAUCAAAUCCAGGGAACAUUCAGUAGAUGCCAUGAGAUGGCACAAGAAGGUUGGAGACGAAGCAGAAAAUUUUUUAUAGAGGUGGUAGCAUUGCAAUGGAUGUUAAAGGAUGGAUGGAAUUUUAAAAAAUAAAAUAACAUGGAGGGCUGGCCAAGUGGCCUGGUGGUCAAGUUCAGUGUGCCCUGCUUCAGUGGCCUGGUUUGGUUCUCAGGCACAGACCUAUACCACUGGCAGCGGCCAUGCUGUGGCAGCAACCCACAUACAAAAUAGAGUAAGAUGGGCACAGAUGUUAGCUCAGGGCAAAUCUUUCUCAGCAAAAAAAGAAAAGAAAAGAACAUAAAUAUGGUUUUCAAAAGGGGGCUCUCUUAGCCUUCUAACACCUCUAAUCGAGGGCAUCCUUCCAGAAAAAAAAAAAGAAAGAUUAUUCCUAUACUGAGUAUAUUUCCAUCCUUUAAAAAUAUAUAACAAACCAGUGUGACCUCAAUUAAAAAAAACUCAUAAAACACAAAAUAAAAUAAGUAGAUAGAAAUGAGAUGAUACUAUGCAUGUUCUUCUAAUAAAUCCCAUAACAAUGGAUGUUAGGUUUCUUGUAUUUUUCCUGCAUUGUUGUUUGGCAUAUUUUUAUGAGUAUGUUUUUAAAGCAAAUUCUUAGCAGCAAAAUGAUCACAUCAAAGGAUCGGUUCACCUAAAAUUGUGAUCCACAUGACCAACUGGCCCUCCAGAAAGAUUGUACCGCUGUACACACAGGCUAUGAAAAUGCCUGUUUCCUCCACACCUGCCCAGUUUCCGUGAAAAGUAGCCGUUUUUUUGUAGCAGUUCUGAUAGGCACAUUCUGAACAAAGUUGGGCAUCUUUUUAUUAGUCAUUUACAUUUAUGUUUCUGCAGACAACAUUCAUGUUGUUUGCAUUUUCACAAUUAGGUCCUUGGCUGUUUUUCCUUAUUCUCUUGUGUGAAUACACUGUAACAAGUGAAAGAAAUUCACCUUUCCUUACGUGUAUUACAAAUAUAUCCCCGGUUUGCCUUUUGACUGUGACAUUUCUUUGUGUUGCUGUUAUAUUCAAGUUCCGUUUUUACGUGGUCAAAGUUACCUGUGUUUUUCUUUAUGUCCUCGGUGUUAUAGAUGGUCGGAAAAGCCUCCCCCACACCAUGAUAGAGACAGAUCCACAGAUGUAGCGAUAGAUGUGUGCGUAUACAUACACACGCGUGUUCUCCCCACAACAAGAUUUCUAGCUGUCUCUCUCUGCCGUCUCCCGUGCUGCUCGGGCGGCCUGGGCUUUCCGUUGCACGGUCCCUUUAGGCUGGCCCUCGGGCCGCCAGGUGGGCCGGAUGCGUCACCUGGGGCAUCCUUUCCCGCUGCCCCGCUCUGGGGCCGCCUCCCGGGACUCGCCGGGCGCGGGCUCGGGGCGCCGCCGGCAGAGCCCGCGAGCUCGUCACUUCCCUUGCAUCCCCGGGCCACGGUUCCCAGGCGGGGCGGAAGUCCUCCUCCGCCCUGCACCGGAGCCGGCCCUUCCCGCAGGCUCUCGUCCCGGCUUAUCCGGGUCAUCGGUGGCCCGGGGCCCGCCGGCGCGGAGCGUCCCUGGAAAGCUCCGAGGCACGUGGCGAAGGAGUGUUGUGAAGCGCUUAGGUGCUGGGUGCGGAGGUGGGAGAAAGGGCCGACGACGCUCCACACCCCGCUGCAGGCUCGGCCGCUCCCAGCCGGCGGGGAAAUCCCCGUCUAGUUGCAGGUCCUUCUAGUUGUGGGAUGUGGGAUGCUGCCUCAACGUGGCCUGAUGAGCGGUGCCAUGUCCGCGCCCAGGAUCCGAACCCCGGACCGCAGCAGCGGAGCGCGCAAACGUAACCACUCGGCCACGGAGCUGGCCCCAGAGAAUGUUUUAUCUUAUAGUUGGAAAAAAUGGUCCUGUGUGCCUCUUUUUGGACCUGAGAAAACGAAAUGGACAAAACUUCUUCAUGACGAACAUCUGGACCCUUACCCACGGUGUUCUAGGCACCACAGAGCCUUCCAGUGGGUAACCGACAAACCGAACGGCUCCCUCCACGUGGCGGCCCAUCCUCCAAGCUCAAACUCUGGCAAAAAAGCAAGCAGUGCCUGCAUAAACCUAGUGAAUAAAUCACCCAGAUUUUUUUUCAAA